GUGCCAGCAGCCGCGGUAAUACGUAGGGUGCAAGCGUUGUCCGGAAUUAUUGGGCGUAAAGAGCUCGUAGGCGGUCUGUUGCGUCGACGGUGAAAACCCUCAGCUCAACUGGGGGCCUGCCGUCGAUACGGGCAGACUUGAGUGCGGUAGGGGAGACCGGAAUUCCUGGUGUAGCGGUGAAAUGCGCAGAUAUCAGGAGGAACACCGGUGGCGAAGGCGGGUCUCUGGGCCGUCACUGACGCUGAGGAGCGAAAGCGUGGGGAGCGAACAGGAUUAGGUACCCGCGUAGUCC
rnacentral:rRNA from 1 species